GCCAGAGGAGGCAAUCGUUAUCCGGAAUUAUUGGGCGUAAAGCGUCCGUAGGUGGUUUGGCAAGUCUGGGGUUAAAGCCCGGAGCCUAACUCCGGAUCGGCCCUGGAAACUGCCAGACUAGAGUAAGGUAGGGGUUGCGGGAAUUCCCGGUGUAGCGGUGAAAUGCGUAGAUAUCGGGAAGAACACCAGUGGCGAAAGCGCGCAACUGGGCCAUUACUGACACUGAGGGACGAAAGCUAGGGGAGAGAAUGGG
rnacentral:rRNA from 1 species